rnacentral:rRNA from 1 species
UACGAAGGGGGCUAGCGUUGUUCGGAAUUACUGGGCGUAAAGCGCACGUAGGCGGAUUGUUAAGUUAGGGGUGAAAUCCCGGGGCUCAACCCCGGAACUGCCUUUAAUACUGGCAAUCUCGAGUUCGAGAGAGGUGAGUGGAAUUCCGAGUGUAGAGGUGAAAUUCGUAGAUAUUCGGAGGAACACCAGUGGCGAAGGCGGCUCACUGGCUCGGUACUGACGCUGAGGUGCGAAAGCGUGGGGAGCAAACAGG